GUGCCAGCCGCCGCGGUAAUACGUAGGGUGCGAGCGUUAAUCGGAAUUACUGGGCGUAAAGCGUGCGCAGGCGGUUUCGUAAGACAGAUGUGAAAUCCCCGGGCUUAACCUGGGAACUGCGUUUGUGACUGCGAGACUUGAGUGCGGCAGAGGGGGGUGGAAUUCCACGUGUAGCAGUGAAAUGCGUAGAGAUGUGGAGGAACACCGAUGGCGAAGGCAGCCCCCUGGGUCGACACUGACGCUCAUGCACGAAAGCGUGGGGAGCAAACAGGAUUAGAUACCCUGGUAGUCCACGCCCUAAACGAUGCGAACUAGGUGUUGGGGAAGGAGACUUCUUUAGUACCGUAGCUAACGCGUGAAGUUCGCCGCCUGGGGAGUACGGUCGCAAGAUUAAAACUCAAAGGAAUUGACGG
rnacentral:rRNA from 1 species